UUCCGACUCAAUUUAAUCCCUGGAGAUACCCUAUUUAAGAGAUAUCAGAGAUAAUUAAUAGAUGUAGUGGAAUCGUAGCUGUUAACUUAUUUAAUGUUUAUAUAUACAUACAUAAAACCAGGGAUACAGAAGCAAAAAUAAAUAUAAAUAAAGAGAGGAUGUGUUUAAAGAAAAAAAACAAGUAUAGUGAUUAGAAAAGGAAAAACGGUUGAUGCGUGUGCUCUUUCUUCUCUUUUGUUCAUUAUUCAAUCAGUCGUGGGCGUGUUAACAGGUCGCUCUAAAACGGUGAAUUCCCCAAUGGUGGGGAAUGUGGAGUUUCCAAGUGGGGAAUGACCGGUUAGACAGAAAAACCACUGUUUCCUAAUUUCACACAUUUCAAUUUCAACCAAUGUUCAAAUCCCAAUCAUUUACAGACAGUUUUAAUAAGAAAAACGACCAACAAAUGAAGUAUUUUUGGUAAUGUAUGGGUUAAAGGGACUACGGUGUUGGGUUAGAAAUGUCAACAGCCGCUCCCCGCAAACCCACACCUGUCACGUCUCUCCUUUGUGUUACAGGAAAAUUCGAGGCACGUUCGAGACUGCUCUCAGCUCUACGGCUUUUCCAACACUGUUGCGAAUAGCAAGACUGCUGGUGGCUUAAGUGAGGUUAUGGGAACGAAGCUAUCAUCAACCUCAACAAGCUGCUGGCGAGUUACAGCUUUAUUUACCGUAAUUCAAAAGUGACAACUCAAUUAUGGUGUUCACGAGCUUUCGAGUUAACAUCUUCCCGAAGGAAGCAGAAGAAAUCGAAGAACAGUUUUUGACCUGGUGCAAUAAAUGUUUUUUUUGUGGAGAAAAGCCUGAAGGCAUUCUGGGCCACUAUGUAUGGUUCGUAUUCUCGCGUUGAUGUGGCGUCGCUCACACUACUUAUUGUAUUUCCCUCCACGUACCUGUGUGAUUCGGCGCAUGCAAGCAUGGUUAAGAUCAAAAUCAAAUCGCAAAACCGCCUUAUUGACUUUGAAUCUGCAGCGCUAUUUGAAAAGUGGACUCGAACAUUGAGGCACUCGUCAAGGCAAAACAAAUGUAAAAGUAUCAUUAACCUGAAUGCGUCUACUGUUGCAUUUAGAAAUAUGUUUUUUAUUGCAAAAGAAUUAUAACAAAUUUUUUCAUAUCUAUUUUAUUUCUAUGUGAAACUGUUAAUAAAAAAUAUAAUAUAUGCCAA
rnacentral:lncRNA from 1 species